rfam:Oryza punctata chromosome 11, whole genome shotgun sequence.
AAAGAGUACACUUUUGUACUAUUCAUACCCAACGUUUGAUCGCUCGUUUUAUUUAAAAUUUUUUAAUGAUUAGUAUUUUUAUUGUUAUUAGAUGAUAAAACAUGAAUAGUAUUUUUUAUGUGACUAAUUUUUUUUAAUUUUUUCAUAAAUUUUUUAAAUAAGAUGGAUGGUUAAACAUUGGACACGGAUACCCACGACUACACUUAAA